rnacentral:lncRNA from 1 species
AUCGCACUGUAUUUCUUUUCUUCGGAGGCAAGGCAAAUUACUUUGUGUUUUCACCAUUUUACUCAUAGUUUUCAUCAAAUUAGCUUUGUUGUCAUUUUAAUUUUCUAUGUACAGAUACGAGCAGGAUUUUAAUCAUUUGGUUGGAGAUAUGAUGAUGUGGAGGACAUCUUGGCAGAGCGUAAAACGAGCAAGAACGUGAGAAUUCCCUCAAGAAGGCUGGUGAAUUUCAUCGAUCCUCCUAAAGAAGAAAUCUAAUUUCAUGUUGAGCUUCUCAACAUGAGCUUCGCAUGACCUGGU